rnacentral:rRNA from 1 species
AUUGAACGCUGGCGGCAGGCCUAACACAUGCAAGUCGAGCGGAUGAAGGGAGCUUGCUCCUGGAUUCAGCGGCGGACGGGUGAGUAAUGCCUAGGAAUCUGCCUGGUAGUGGGGGAUAACGUCCGGAAACGGGCGCUAAUACCGCAUACGUCCUGAGGGAGAAAGUGGGGGAUCUUCGGACCUCACGCUAUCAGAUGAGCCUAGGUCGGAUUAGCUAGUUGGUGGGGUAAAGGCCUACCAAGGCGACGAUCCGUAACUGGUCUGGGAGGAUGAUCAGUCAAACUGGAAAUGAGACACGGUCCAAACUCCUUCGGGAGGGAGCCGUGGGGAAUAGUUGAAAAUUGGCGAAAACCUGAUCCAAGCAAUCCGCGUGUGUGAAGAAGGGUUUCGGAUUGUAAAGCACUUUAAGUUGGGAGGAAGGGCAGUAAGUUAAUACCUUGCUGUUUUGACGUUACCAACAGAAUAAGCACCGGCUAACUUCGUG